UACGUAGGGCGCAAGCGUUGUCCGGAAUUAUUGGGCGUAAAGAGCUCGUAGGCGGUUUGUCGCGUCUGCCGUGAAAGCCCGGGGCUUAACUCCGGGUCUGCGGUGGAUACGGGCAGACUAGAGGCAGGUAGGGGAGAACGGAAUUCCCGGUGGAGCGGUGAAAUGCGUAGAGAUCGGAAGGAACGCCCGUGGCGAAAGCGAGGUCCUGGACGUUUUUCUGACACUGAGACGCGAAAGCCAGGGGAGCGAACGGG
rnacentral:rRNA from 1 species